rnacentral:lncRNA from 1 species
GGCAAAGAAAUGUUUGAAUGAAAGAAAAGUUUUUAAUUUUUAUGUAUAUUGUUGACCAUGUAUGGGAUUAAACAGGUUCACAGGAUGUAUGUUUGGCUUGCUACGGGUUCUGGCGGCCUUAAGCCGACCUGAAUCCUAGCGCCAGUAGCGGUCCGGUUUCCGGGUCGUUACAGAGUGGUAUCAGAGCCCUAGGUUCAUAUGGUCGGACCUAGAGUGUCGGGCUCAUAGAUGUGAUAGAAAGUCAAGCACAAUAGGAAAUCAUGUCCACUAGGAUAGGAUGAAGAGUCCUG